rnacentral:rRNA from 1 species
UUACCGGCUCGAAAUUCCGAGGCGCUUGACAGGUGCUGCAUGGCUGUCGUCAGCUCGUGCCGUGAGGUGUUGGGUUAAGUCCCGCAACGAGCGCAACCCUAUCUUAGUUGCCAUCAAUUGGGACUCUAAGAGACUGCCUACGCAAGAGUGAGGAAGGUGGGGAUGACGUCAAGUCCUCAUGGCCCUUACGCCGGGCUACACACGUGCUACAAUGGACUACAAGGGGCACCGCGAGGGGAGCAAUCUCAAAAGUAUCUCAGUCCGGAUCGAAGUCUGCAACUCGACUUCGUGAAGCUGGAAUUGCUAGUAAUCGCAAUCAGCAUGUGCGGUGAAUACGUUCCCGGGCCUUGUACACACCGCCCGUCAAGCCAUGGAAGCUGGGGGCCGAC